UGCAGGAGUGAGCCUGCUCGCGAUGGCGGUAUGUCAGUUUCCAUAAUGUUGACUGACACACCGCUAUCGCGAGCAGGCUCACUCCUACA
rnacentral:misc_RNA from 1 species